GAGUUUGAUCUUGGCUCAGAUUGAACGCUGGCGGCAUGCCUAACACAUGCAAGUCGAACGGCAGCGCGGGGUAGCAAUACCCUGGCGGCGAGUGGCGGACGGGUGAGGAAUACAUCGGGAUCUACCCUCUGGUGGGGGAUAACGCACCGAAAGGUGCGCUAAUACCGCAUGAGACCGGAAGGUGAAAGCGGAGGACCCGCAAGGGCUUCGCGCGAGAGGAUGAACCGAUGUCCGAUUAGCUAGUUGGUAGGGUAAAGGCCUACCAAGGCGACGACGGGUAGCCGGCCUGAGAGGGCGACCGGCCACACUGGGACUGAGACACGGCCCAGACUCCUACGGGAGGCAGCAGUGGGGAAUAUUGCGCAAUGGGCGAAAGCCUGACGCAGCGACGCCGCGUGGGGGAUGAAGGCCUUCGGUUG
rnacentral:rRNA from 1 species